AAUGGCAUUCUUAACGAAUGACUCCGAUCAAACUAAAUGGUCAAUGGUACUGCGAUUUUUUACGGAAUCCACAUUGAAUAUUUGUGAUUAUUUAUUGGAUUCUAAGUACCAAGUUAAUCUAUUAUUGACCAUGCGUUCCAUGGUUUUGCAAACGCAGCUAGUCAAUGAAAUGGGUCGAUAAUUGGAAGGAUCAGUAUGAUCACGUCCAGGUUUAUGUAUGGGAACAAUGAUAGCUUCACGCCAUGAAGAAGGAAAUUCUCCUGACGUCCAGAUUUUAUCAAAUAUUAUCAAAAGGGUUUCUAAACAGGAUGGCGGUAAAUGUUUUAAGAGUUGAUACUGUAUAUUAUCAGACUCUGCAGCAGUGUCAUGAGCCUGCCCAAGUGAAGUAUGGAGCUCAUGAAUGGAAAAGACUUAAUUGUAAUCUUCCCCGUUAUCUGAAUUAAAAUUUAAAGGUUUCUUUUCCUGCAGCUUUUUUUAUUUUUGAAAUUGAGGGACAUAAUUAGACGAGGAAGAAUGUUGAGCCAGAGUUUCACGAAGUUUAUUUGCAAUAUCUGAUUUAUCAGUUAACAAUUGAUCCCCAUCUUUGAGAUGGUGUAUUGAGUGCCCUGACCCUUCAUUUUCUGAGUAAUGUUCCAUACGUUGGACAUAGGCGUCAAGAUUGGCAUUUGGUUUGUUUGAAAGUGCGCCGGUGUUAGCAUUUACAAUUUUGAAUUUUUUGAGGUUAUGGAUCAUUGGAUGGCAAAUGAAAUAUUUUUCAGCUUUUUUCCGUGCCUUUCUAGCUUUUUAGCAAUCAUUGUUGAACCAUGGUUUACGUAUGUGAGGAUUUGAGGAGGACUUCGGAAUACAUUCAUCAGCUAUUUUAGUAAGUUCAUCAGAGAACAUUUGUAUAGAGUCGGGAACAUCAAUAAAAACUUCAGGUUUUAGUUUGUAAGAACAAAGGACUUCAUAAAACGCCAAGUUGGCUUUAGUAAAAUUCUAUCGUGAUGACGGAGGAACAUCAGAUGGUGUAACAGAUUUUAAAAUGGUAGGAAAAUGGUCACUUCCACAGAGGUCAUCGUGGACUGACCAUUCAAAUUCAUUAAAUAAAUUAGAAUUUACAACUGACAAGUCCAGACAAGAGUAUGGUCCAGUUGCAGGAUGAAGAUACGUGUUAGAAUCAUCAUUAAAAAGAGUAGUAUUGAGAGGAACAGGACUGUGAAUGAGGCCCUGCCUCACCAGCACAGAAGAUCCUCAAGUUGCUUUAUCACCCGGAAGGGAAAAGCUAUGGUAAGAAUCAUACUGUCUUAAAUCAAAUUUAUCAGUAGUUUUGAGGAAAGUUUCUUGUAAACAAAAUGCAGAUGGUUUAAAAUCUUGAAUUAAGAGCUGAAGAUCAGUAAAAUUGUUCCGAAGUCCUCUACAAUUCCAUUAUAUUAAAUUGGGAGAGGUGCUCAUGGGGGUAUAAUUGGAGAUCGUGAGCGGGGAGAAGGUCCUCUUCGCUGUAAUGGCAGCGAUGGAGUGACCUCCAUAUCAAGAGGUUUAAAGGGGUUUUGAACCUCCAGAGGGACUGUCAAUGUUGAAGGCAUCUUAAUAUGUUUAAGUGCCUUGGAUUCUUCUUUUCUGUGUUGUUUCCUUUCUUUUCUGGAAAGUGAGGUGAGGGUUGUGUUGGAGUGUCCAUGGAAUUUACGAUGGCAUAGAAUGAAAGGUGAGGGUUAUGUUGGAGUGUCCGUGGGAUCUAAGAAGGGACAGAAAGAAAGGUAAGGGUUGUGUUGGCGAGUCCGUGGGAUCUAAGAAGGGACAGAAACAAAGGUGAGGGUUGUGUUGGAGAGUCCGUGGGAUCUAAGAAGGGACAGAAACAAAGGUGAGGGUUGUGUUGGAGAGUCCGUGGGAUCUACGAAGGGACAGAAACAAAGGUGAGGGUUGUGUUGGAGUAUCCAUGGGAUCUAAGAAGAGGCAGAAUCAAAGGUGAGGGUUGUGUUGGAGUGUUCAUGGGAUCUACGAAGGGAUAGAAUCAAAGGUGAGGGUUGUGUUGGAGUGUCCAUGGGAUCUAAGAAGGGAUAGAAUCAAAGGUGAGGGUUGUGUUGGAGUGGCCUUGGGAUCUACGAAGGGGCAGAAUCAAAGGUGAGGGUUGUGUGGGAGUGGUCAUUGGAUCUAAGAAGGGAUAGAAUCAAAGAUGAAGGUUGUGUUGUAUAGCCCGUCGGAUAGAGCAGGUAGAGCAUCGAAGGUGAGUGUUGAUUUAGAGAGUCCACAUAAUCCGAGCAGGGACAGGAUGAAAGGUGAGCGAUGUGUUAACAUUUUCGUCGGUACCAACGGGGUCAAACUCAGAAGAGAGGUUGUAAUGUUCAUGACAUUGUACAACAGUUGUCGGGGUCAAACACAUAACUAAAAAGAACAAGGUUACAAAUUCGACCCAUUCAUAUUUCGAACGAUCGUUAAGCCUCUAAAUAUGGCCAACAUGCCUUAACUUGCAAUCAUUUGGCCAGGUCUCAUCUUCUUCAUUCAGCUGAACUGAUGGGAUACACGACUUUCCCAGUUGAGGGGGGCGAGAUGCAUCUGAAGAGAUACAAUGUACGACGUACGUGGGACCAAGCCCUACAGAUGUGCAGGUCUGACGGCGCCACACUGGUCAAGACAGACACUGCGGAGAAAUUGGACAUCGUCAGAGGCUUGUUUUACCACACCAAAACUAACGAGUGCAGGGAGCCCUGGAUUGGACUGCGGGACACGACCAGGUCCAACGUCUACAGGUGGACUGACGGUUCCGUCGCGACGUACACACCCUGGAGGAAGGGGGAGCCGAGCUUUAAACAAAACCUCUUUCCCCCAGAGGACUGUGUACAAAUGUACAUAAUGUACAAUUAUUCUGAUUGGAACGACCUAGUCUGUUAUAAACAUAAAAGCUUUGUGUGUGAGAUGUGAUUUGAAAUAUUCACCAAAUAAUACGCCAACAUGUUGCAGCACCUUAAUAAUCGAUCAUAAGCUUAGAACGCGAACAAAAACACUCGCAGUGAGACUUGGCUCCACAUUGGUGUUAGUCUUCAAUGAAGGUGAGUGAGUAUGGUUUUACCCCGCUUUUAGCAAUAUUCCAGCCAUAUCACGGCGGGGGACACCCGAAAUGAGCUUCACACAUAGUACCAACGAGGGGAAUCGAAACCGUGUCUUCGGCGUGAGUAGCGAAUGCUUUAACCACUUAGCUACCCGACCGCCCCUUUCGAUGAAGGUCCAAACGAUCGUUUUCAGUUGUGACAUUGAAUUAAACACCAGGGCCAAACAAAGCAUACACCCAUGAUUAAUAUCAUUUGAACGUACUGCAGGAAAACGUUUGGCGAGUCUUACUUCAGUUUAGAACGUGUAACCAGUGAUUGAGUGACGUUUUACGCCGCUUUUAGCAAUACCAAGGCAGGGGACACCACCAAUGGGCUUUACACAUUGUACCCAAUUCGAGAAUCGAACCCGGGUCUUCGGCGUGACGAGCGAAGGCUUUAACCACUAAGCUCUCCUUGUAACCAUAAUCUUCCUCAUGAAACUGCGAGAAUAAUACCUUUAUCCAAAAGGAAAUGCCCACUUUGUAAAUUAUCUGACAGAGGUAAUGAAUUCCAUUAUUUGUAUAUUUGUCCAUCUUUAGAAAACGAAAGAAAACAUUUUCUACACAGAUUCAACUACUUCAAACCCAAUAUUCAUUAAAUGAAUUUACUUUUCAAUAAUUAACGCUUAGAGACUUUGAGAAAAUGUCCAUAUUCUGUUAAAUCGCCAUGUCAUUGUUUAAACCUAUCAAGUAACUCUCCCUCUGAUUAAAUUGAACAUAUAUUGAUACCCGAGUGAAUCUGUAUCAAUAUACAUGCAUCGUUGGCAAAGAUGUUUUUUUUUAAUCUAUUCCAUAUGUUUAUGUAAAUGUGUUAUGUUGUUGAAAUAAGUUUGUACCUCUGAUACCGCUGAUAGCGGCCUGAGCGUAAAUAAAGUUCAGUUCAGUUCA
rnacentral:lncRNA from 1 species